ACCUACUACGGAAGCGAUUAACCUGUCCUGUCAGGGGGUGAAAGGCAACUGGUCAAUGAUCGUUAAGUGAUGACUAGUUGUGCCAACGCCUAUAAUUACGAACACACAUGUAAUUCGUACGACUGGUCCUGCCCUACUUUGGUCUGGGACUAGCUCGUCAAUUUUUGGAAGCUUCUCCUUUUUGGAGAGGCUCUCGAUCAAUACUUUCCAAUUAUUUAUUAUUAAUUUUUAUUUCCUACUAACCUUUUUCUUUUGUGGCAUUUUAUUUAUAAGGCUUAAUACAUCAGUUGGUUUUUAAUUUAUUUUUAGUUUUUAAUUUGGUCUUUUAAUUAUUAAACAUUUCAAAUUGGUCUUUUAUCUUCUUUCUGUCAUUCAAUUUGACCCUAUUUUAUUCAUUUUAACCCUCAAGAAAAUGAGACCGUUGGAUAGAUGAGGUCUAUCAGAUCUAACUGUGUAGCACCAACACAUGAUUUAUUUUACUUUUCGUCAUCUUCUUUCCUCAACUUCAUCUUCAUACAACCUUCAUCAAUCUUCAUCAUCUUCAACUUUUUUUUGUUCUUUCAAAAAUUCAUCAUUUUAAUUUCAACAAAAACUACAAAAUCAAACAUUUAAAUUUAUAAUUAAGACCAUUGUCUUCCUCCUUUUCAGAUAAAAUCCAACGGCUACAAAAUCCUCAUCAAACGAUUCGGAGAAUUCCAUCUUGAACACUCACUGUUACCUAAGUUCUUGUCACUCUAUGCAACAUAGCAUAGCAUUCUCAACCUGAUGUUAAAUCAAAUCAAAGUCACACUAUCUUAUACUCACUGAAAACUGCAUAGUUUCACACAUGGAUCUGGAUUUUCUCAUUCCCGUUCUAAGUCCAUCAUGGAACUCUGUUAGUCCAAACUACUCACAACCCAUUUCUUUAAUUCAAUGAUUUAUUACAAUUCAAUCAUCAAUUUCAUUUCUUUUUGCAUUUUACGAAUCUGGGUCAGGUUGUUUUACUCGUGGGAUUUUUUUACUUACUUGGCCAUUGUUGGAUCCAUUCUCCCUGGAAAACUUGUUCCUGGUGUUGUUCUCUCUGAUUCUACUCGUCUUCAUUAUCGAUGCAAUGGUUUGUUUUCUCUUGUUCUGUUCGUUGGAUUUCUUUGGAUCAGUGCCAAGAUGGAAUUUGUAUUUCCUGCUGUAAGUGUUUGCCUAAUUUGUAUUAAUAAUUCAGUUUGCUUAUCGAAUUGGUGUUAAUUUUAAAUUUAAAUGUUUGAUUUUGUGGUUUUUGUUGAAGUAGAAAUGAUGAAUUUUUUAAAGAACAAAAAAAGUUGAAGAUGAUGAAGAUUGAUGAAUGAUGUAUGAAGAUGAAGAUGAGGGAAGAAGAUGAAGAAAAGUAAAAUAAAUCACGUGUUGGUGAUACACAGUUAGAUCUGAUAGACCUCAUCUAUCCAACGGUCUCCUUUUCUUGAGGGUUAAAAUAAAUAAAAUAGGGCCAAAUUGAAUGAUGAAAAGAAGAUAAAGGACCAAUUUGAAACGUUUAAUAGUUAAGGGACCAAAUUAAAAACUGAAAAUAAGUUAAGGGACCAAAUUGAAAACUGAAAAUAAGUUAAGGGACCAAAUGAUAUAUUAAGCCUAUUUAUAAUAACUUGUUUCAUGCUCUA